AAAACUCCACCACUCUCGUAGCUAAAAAGAAAAGCGCUGGCCUGGGUAAGACAGAGA
rnacentral:tRNA from 1 species